rnacentral:rRNA from 1 species
AUUGAACGCUGGCGGCAGGCCUAACACAUGCAAGUCGAACGAGUGGCGGACGGGUGAGUAAUGUCUGGGAAACUGCCCUAUGGAGGGGGAUCACUACUGGAAACUGUCUCUAAUACCGCAUACUCUCGGAUGCCCCUAUAUGGGAUUAUCUAGUAGGUGGGGUAAUGGCUCACCUAGGCGACGAUCCCUAGCUGGUCUGAGAGGAUGACCAGCCACACUGGGACUGAGACACGGUCCAGACUCCUACGGGAGGCAGCAGUGGGGAAUAUUGCACAAUGGGCGCAAGCCUGAUGCAGCCAUGCCGCGUGUAUGAAGAAGGCCUUAGGGUUGUAAAGUACUUUCAGCGGGGAGGCGUUACUCGCAGAAGAAGCACCGGCUAACUCCGUGCCAGCAGCCGCGGUAAUAC